rnacentral:rRNA from 1 species
AGCAGUGGGGAAUAUUGGACAAUGGGCGCAAGCCUGAUCCAGCCAUGCCGCGUGAGUGAUGAAGGCCUUAGGGUUGUAAAGCUCUUUGUCCGGGACGAUAAUGACGGUACCGGAAGAAUAAGCCCCGGCUAACUUCGUGCCAGCAGCCGCGGUAAUACGAAGGGGGCUAGCGUUGCUCGGAAUCACUGGGCGUAAAGGGCGCGUAGGCGGCCUUGUAAGUUGGGGGUGAAAGCCCGUGGCUCAACCACGGAAUUGCCUUCGAUACUGCUUGGCUUGAGUGUGGUAGAGGUUGGUGGAACUGCGAGUGUAGAGGUGAAAUUCGUAGAUAUUCGCAAGAACACCGGUGGCGAAGGCGGCCAACUGGACCAUCACUGACGCUGAGGCGCGAAAGCGUGGGGAGCAAACAGGAUUAGAUACCCUGGUAG